GGAGUAAAGUUUGCUGUGAGCAAAGCACAAGAUGAAGUUCUGAUGUCACAAUGGGAUUUUUCAGGUUUUCUUCCUGCCACAGUUGCGGUGCCAGCCUCCCCUUGGGUGAAGAUAGGAGAACCUAUGUCCACACUAGAAUGAUGCCUGACCUGAAGAGAUGAAACGCACAUGUGUAGACAGCAGAAAUAAACAGCAACGAAGAACCAUCUACUUCUGGAGCAGAUUGUGUGAUGCCUUUACCCUUACUGAAUUGGCUGUGAUGAAUCCUGAGUUAUAACAUAAACAUAGCAGCAAAAGCAUGGAGGAGAUUCAGGUGUGAAAUACAAUUGCAGGAACUCAGUUUGCUCCCAAAAGUUUCCUUGAGAGAAGAGCUCACUGUAGUUUAUUUCCUACCUCAGUGGUUUGCAAUCUAGUGAGGGACUCAUCCUGCCAAACCACGAGGCGUAAACAUUUUCUUUCUUGUUAAAUCUCUCCAGAGAGCACCACACCAUCCACACCAUCUUAGCAUCUGCCUGAUAUAUAUACACACUAAUUCUUGAAAAGGUCACUUCUGCUCAAAUGUUAAUUAGAUGUUGUUGUUGUUAAAGAAUAAACAGGCUAAAAAAUUCA